ACGCGGCGUCGGUUGCUUGUCAACAUGGCGGCGGCGUCGCCACCUCAGCCGUUUCCAGGCAAGGUCGCCGCUGCGGCAGCUGCCGUCGACACCACAGCCGAGAGCGCCGCUGUGCGGGAACCGGAGCUGCGGCGGCCAACUUUCCCGCCGCAGUGACGCGAGGCUUGAGAGACGGAGUGCUGAGAGGGCCGGAGGAGACAGCGGGAGCUGCCAUGAGGGAGGCUCUCGGGGCUAGCCGGGAGGCGGCGCUGAGGUGAAGGAUGCUGACCAGAAGGCCUGGAGCCCGGAGCGCGGUCGCCGGACUGGGCACUGAAUCCUCGGACACCCACGUCAAAGCCCCCCUCAGCCCUCGCUUGAGCGGCGGGCGUCACCGACCUGGCGCCUACCUAGAUAUGAAAAUUCAUUUUGAGAAAAAUUUAGAAGAAGAGCGCCAAAUAUUACUGCAGCAACAAAAAAUAUGUCGAAAUCGAGCACGUAAAUAUUUUGUGGAGUCAAACCGGAGAAAAAAAGCUUUUGAAGAAAAACGAAAAGAGCAAGAAGAAAGAGAACACCAAAUCAGAGAACAGAUACUUCAACAACGAAAACAGAAGGUGGAAGAGGUUACUGAAAAAUUCCAGCGUGCCCAUAUUCCUUUUUCACAGCGGAAGAGAACAGUUCUUCAAAGACCAGUUCUUCCAUUAGAAGAUGCCCUCAAACAAAUUCAGGAGUCCAACCUAAAAUCAGAAGUAAACCUUCCCUCUUCCCACAGACCAAUAAUAAACUGGAGAGCUAUAGAUAAUGACUUGCCUUCAUCAUUGUCAAAAAAUGAUCAUAAGCAUCAGAAAUAUCUCAUAUCCAAAAUCAGUUGUGGUCAAGAAAUGGAAAACAGCAAGGCAAACUUGACUACUAACAAAGAUGCAUUCCAGCUUAAACUGGAGGAAACGCAGAAACUCCUAGAAGAUCAGCAUCUAAGCAGUUUGCAAAAAUUUCGUGAUGAAGUUAAUCAGAUAAUAAAUUCUGAAACCCUCUCAAGUAUAGACAGUCUUGAGGCUGGGGAACGUGAAGAAAUAUAUUUAACACUUAAUAAGGAGCCUUCCACAUCAGUCCAGCAGCAGAAUUCCAUUUCCCUCAAAUCAGCAAAUCUGCAAUCAGCUAAUCUAAGCUGCUUUGAUGAAGAUAAACUGUCAUUCUCUAAAACUCAACACAUAAAUAAUUGGCUUGUAAAUAUAGAUGAUCCAAAUAUUUUCUCAGAUAUUUUUAGUAAACCUAAUGUUCUCCCUGACUCAAGUAAAUGCUUUAAUAGUAAAGAACAAAAUCCAUCUACUCUGAGUAGAACUGUGGAAAGAGCCAUAAAUACUGCUAAUAAUUCAGUAGCCAUUCUAUAUAGUCCAUCCAUAUUUGUACAAGAUAAAAAAAGCAAAAACACAUCUGAAACUAGUGUUAUAAGGACAACUGACUCUUCUGAAGCAUUCAAAAGAGAAAGACCGUUAGUUUCUGAGAGCCCAAAAUUUAAAUUCAGCAAAGCCUGGGCCACUCCAGAUUCUCUAACACAGGAAAUCACAAUAAUUUCAGACCAAGAAAAAUAUUCUGAAAUGACUCAAGAAAAUAGAACUACUUCAGUUCCUACUUCAUUUGUACCUUUGGCAACACCUUUAGUUUUGCCAUUGAAUACACAAUCAGCUAGGCCUUUACCAAAGAGCAGUAUACACAUAAAAGAAAUUGACCCAGUGCAGUGUUCUGAUAAGUUAGGGGAAAUGAAAGACAUUAAAGAUGAAAAGACAAAAUAUUUUAAUUGUAAUGAGGAAGAGUUGUCUUUAUUUUCAGAUAAUUUUCAAGCCACCUAUAUACUUCACAACUCUGAUUCAAAAGACGAAAAACAGGAAAUAUCUGAAGCACCAAAAUCAUUGUCUAAUAUAAUUUCUAAUUGUGACUUAGUCAAUCAGCACAAGAAAAUGAAAUACAAUAUUUGUGAGAAGAAUAGUGUGAGAUUUCUUAAAAGUAUUUUAAAGAAAGAAUCUAAAUACGAGCAUGAUUAUUUUAAGGCACUGGUUACAAACCAAGGCUUUAAGUUAGGAAAUCAAAAAGCAGCAGUUAUCAGAGAUAGUAUUGAAUUAACAAAAGAAAGAGGGAAAAGUGCAGAAACUCCAAAAACUAUUAAAAAACUGAGAUGGUUUGAUGAAACUGGCAAUACAAGGAAAAAUGCUGAAGAUAGUCAUUUGCUGAAGAGUAGAAAAAGAGUAUCUCAACAGUGGUCUCAACCAUUCCACAUUCGAUCUAAAAGUGGUGCUGCCAGCAACAUGCCUAGUAUUCCUGCUUCUGCUGUGGAUUCUGCUAAUAAGAAAGAGCCCAAGGACGAUUUUAUCUCUGAAAACGUCACUGCUUUAGGAGGAUCUGGAAUAGACCAUGUGCCUUUGAACUGCUGUAUACCUUCAGAUUAUAGCACUGCUAAACAAGCCUGGCCAGACUCCACAGAGGAGGAAACUAUAUCCCCUGCAAAGAGUGGUGGUUCCAAAACUCAGAAAACUAACCCACAAAGGAGUGAAGCCAAAGUCGUUAGAAGAACAAGGUCUGCUAAAGUCCAGUCAGGCUUUGUAUGUAUGAACAGAAAAGGCACUGUUAUUCGACCACAGUCUGCGAGCAAAGCCAGCACAUUUUUACAAGCUCAGGGUAAAUUAAUUGUACCUCAUCCUCCUCCUCCAUCUCAAUUAAAUAUUAGAAGUUGUAAAAAUAUACAAGUAUCUCAGUGUCAGUCUGUAAUGCCUGAAAAUUCUCAAAACAUCAGUACAUGUAACUACUUUAAUUCAAAACAUAUGCUUCCAACAGAACACAAGUUGAAUCAGUGGAAUCAAGAAAGUAGUCUUCCACUCCCUCAUGUUUGUUCUGACUUAGACACUGUGAUGCCAGCUCUACCAUAUUGUUCUUCUGAGUGCCAAACAUUAAAGAAAAUAAAUCAUUCAAAUGGCAGUCAAACUGUUGCCCCGCAAGAUGGGAUGUUAUAUUGCCCCCAAAGAUGUCCAACAUAUGAAGAAAGUCAUCCCUCUGUGACUCUUAAAACUACUAGAGAAGAACUGGUUCCCAUGUGGAAAAGACAGCAUAAUAUUCUGGGUCAAAAUGAAAAGGCUGCUGGUUGAAGAAUAGGUAAAACCAUGGAUGGGGUUAUAUGGAAACAGAAGCAAGAUAUCUAUCUUGACAGUUUUUCUUUAAGAAAAGAAAAAAUCAAGACAAAACUAAACAAACAAGAAAACUUUACUGUAUCUGUUAGAAACUUAAUAUAAUUUUAGGCAAUAAUAACCAGAUCUUUGGAAGUACUGCGAUAGUCUACAUUAUUUUAGGCUAUAUAUUUUAAGAGCUGUAUAUAAACAAACUGGAGUGAGCCAGAACUCUGGAAGGAGGGGUUGUGUCUGAAGGCCAAUUAAAGGAGCUCAAGCCAGAGAGACAUGUACAGGCUCUGUACAAAUGUUUGAAGGUUUAUUAUGUUAAAAAAGGGGGAAACAGAACUAAGUGAAGGGGUAAAAUGUGCAAAUAUGUUUUCAGCUCAGCAUGAGGAAGAAUUUGAGCUAAUACCACCAACAAUUGGGGAAGGUACCCCCAUGGGGAAGUGGCUUCCCUUCACUUAAGCAUUCAAGCACAGGUUGACUGUCCAUCUCUGAGUGGUUUAGAUUUAUGAGUAAGAGGUUGAACUAGUUAACAUCUAAGAUCACUUCCCAAACUAUAAUUUCAUUAAUGUCUCCAGAAUUUCCCCUUGUUUAUAAUUGAGAAUACUGUAAAUUUUAAAAUACAUAAUACCUUCCUAAAGAUUAGCUUUAUUUUGAGUUUUGGUAGUAAUUCUAUCAUAUUUAGAAUUUUCAUAUGAGACAAGAAAUUUGACUAGAGAUGCCAGCACAAACUAUAUUAUUUUUGCAAAAAUACAUAUAUUCUCAGCUAUUAUAUUAAUUAGUAAAUAGUAUUUAAGUUCAUGUAUGUGAAUGGAACAAAACAUGAAAAGUUUUAAGCAUAUAUUUUCUUCUGUUCUUAGUAUCACUUUAUAAUCCACAAAACUGAACAUCUACACAAAGAACAAUCAAAAACAAAUAAUUAUGCUAUGAAUUGAGAAAGUACAAAAGUAUUGGUAGGUCUUGCCUCCAGAAGGUUUAUUAACAGGCUGAAGGAAGAGAAAAAUUAUUGAUACAGCAGUCAUGUAACCAAGUCAAUUUUCACUUAAGAUGUUUUUAGAGCUGUUCAAAAAUAGAAAAAUGGGGACUUUUCAAGAUUUAGAAGACAAUUCCAAGCAUAAUAAACAGUAUUAAAACUUUAUUGGUACCCAAAUUAUCUCACUAUAAGCUAUUAACAUGUAAUAUAUCGAGCAUUUAACAUAUUUAGCAUUCCCUUAUUAGAGUAAACAUAAUACAGUGCUUUUUAAACUAUAGGUCAUUACUCAUUAGCAGAUUAUAAAUCAGUUAAUGAGUAGUAACCAGAAAUUUUUAAUGAAAUAUAAUUGUAGAAUGUUCUAGAAUAGAAACUACCAGAGGGCACUGUAUAUUGUAAGAGUAAAUAUGGUUCACAAAACUAUAUAUGCAUCACGGGUCACAACGGAAGAUAUCUUUCUAUGAGACACAGCCAAAUCAAAAUGAAAAUUACUAGCAUAGAGAGUAAGAGUAGAAUUCUAGAUUUUAGAGACUGUUUGAGCUAAAUCUCAUCAUCGCCCUUUACUGGCUCUGUGACCUUGGGCAAGUUACUGACACUUGCCUGUGCCUCAGUAUUUUUAUCUAUAAAAAUAGUGAUGAUAACAGUGCCUAUAGUAUAGAACAAGGCCUGGGCAACUAUAACUGUUCAACACAUUAGCUAAAAUUAUGUUAGUAUUUCUUACUCUAAAAAAUCAGAUGUUCAAUUACUAGCCAGCUUUCUUGAAAUUUGAAAGCUUUUAUGUCUUUGUUGUUAUAUAGAUACAGGUAUCUACUUAUAGUGUAUGUGUAUAAUUAUAUAUAUGUUAUAUAGAGAAAAUAUACAGAUAUUUAGCUAUGGUAACAUAAAUAUCUGUGUUCUUUCAGUACAUAAUUUCAGCUACAAAUAUUUAUAUAUUUUUUCCUACCUAAACCUGUAUGACAGAAGCACACAUAUACACUCCCAAGACAUUUGUGUGCUUAUACACACUCCUUGAAUUUUCCACCUUUCAGUCCAAGAGUCUUAUUAACUAUGUAUCAUUGUUACUUUGUACUUUAGAACAUAAUGUUCCUUUUGAUUCAAAGAUCCUUGUACUUGGAGGCCUACUACUCCUUUAAGACCAAGCUUAAACAUAACCUCUGUGAAAGCUUUCUUGAUUCUGACAAAGGCUCUGUGUUUUCACUUAAUUCUUUACAACUUCAGUUUAUUCAUACACAUACAGUUUAUUCACUUUACUGUAAUAAUCCAUUUAAAUUUAUAUCCAUUCUUCUGGAAUCAUGGACUCCAAGAGUUUUUAUUGUACCACCAUUAACAAAAAUGUUGAGCAAAUAUCACAUACAUAUAUACCAUACACACAUAUUACUCUACUAAUAUAUACGUUAAGCACCUUAGCCAGAAAUAGAAAAAAUUUUUAACUGAGACAAGGAUGAAAUACAGACUUUUAAAAUAAUUUUUAAAUUUUGUAUCUUAUAAAUCAUACAUUUUAAAAUAAUAAUUAUAAGAACAAUUUUAUGUACUAACAUGCAAAAAAUUUCUCAUAGUAUUAAUAAUUUUCUGAAUGGGAUAAGAUGAUAAGUGAUGACUUUUUUUUUAAGAUGACUUCUAUAUACCAUCCUUAGAUAUCUCAAGGCAUAAUACACAGAGUGAGGUUUAUUGUUAUUUUUUACAAUUUUUAGAUUUGUGAUCCUUUGUUAUAAUGUAACUAUACUGUCAUUGUUAUUGUGUGGCAGAGAGUUUGUAAUGAGAAUAAGAUGUGAAUCAGCUCUGUCUUUCUUAUUCUCCUGUGCUUGCACUAUUAGUAUUGUCUUUAUGAUUUUGCAAGACUAUUUUUUAAUUAGUCAUAGAGAAAAUAAUAAAUAAAAUAAUAAUAAAAUAUUACACAUACAAUAAAAGCCCUACAAAAGUCAUUUUAGCCUCUUUUCCACUUUGUAAGGAUUCAUUCAGAUACUAUGAGAUAUCCAUAAAUCCAGGGCACACAUAAAAUUCAGUGCAUUGAAGGACACAAAAGGACACUUGUGAAGAUAACACUGCCAAACUCACACACUUAGAACCUCUGCACUUCCUGCAAGACAACUGUUUACUGUAUGCAGUGUGCAUACCGUGUAUGCGCACUGUAUGCAUCUACCAUGCAAACUCACAAGGGUGCCAGUAUCAAUCAUGUUUUACCACAGUAAAUUUUAAGUUUCUAAUUUUUAGAUAAUAGGAAAUUAAAUUUUAACAUGUUCUUCCUGUGCAACAGUGAUUUAUUUUGCAUAUCCUCCUGGUGUUCUGCCACAACACUUUAGAGGUCACUGCUCUAAACUAUAGACCCCUCAAAAGCAGAGAUGUUUAAACCAUUAUGGUACCUGUGUCAUGCAUCGUACAUGUAAGAGAAGUUCAAUAAAAGCUUGCCAACUGAAUGAAUGAAACUUAGGGUUUUCUGUGAUGUUUGAAAGUAACUUGGAAGUUUACAGUGGAUAUAUACUGUCUACUUGUGUAAAUUUUGACUUUGUCGUGGUAUUUGUUUAAGAUUCUAGUGUUACAAGAAGAAAACAAAUUGUCGAAAAUAAGCACAAAAGUCUUUUAGAGCAAAAAAGACAAAACCCUGGAUCUGUAGGACAGAAGUACAGGGAGCAGAUGAAUAAUUUUGGACAAAGUAUCCAGCUAAGUUCAAAUGAG